GACGAACGCUGGCGGCGUGCUUAACACAUGCAAGUCGAGCGGUAAGGCCCUUUCGGGGGUACACGAGCGGCGAACGGGUGAGUAACACGUGGGUGACCUGCCCUCAGCUCUGGGAUAAGCCCGGGAAACUGGGUCUAAUACCGGAUAUGACUCCAUGACGCAUGUUGUGGGGUGGAAAGCCUUGUGCGGCUGAGGAUGGGCCCGCGGCCUAUCAGCUUGUUGGUGGGGUGAUGGCCACCAAGGCGACGACGGGUAGCCGGCCUGAGAGGGCGACCGGCCACACUGGGACUGAGAUACGGCCCAGACUCCUACGGGAGGCAGCAGUGGGGAAUCUUGCGCAAUGGGCGAAAGCCUGACGCAGCGACGCCGCGUGAGGGAUGACGGCCUGGUUGUAAC
rnacentral:rRNA from 1 species